rnacentral:tRNA from 1 species
GGGGAAGUGGCGGAAUUGGCAGACGCGCGUGAUUUAGGAUCACGUGCCGCGAGGCGUAGGAGUUCGAGUCUCCUCUUCCCCACCA